rnacentral:rRNA from 1 species
UACGUAGGGUGCGAGCGUUAAUCGGAAUUACUGGGCGUAAAGCGCACGUAGGCGGCUUUGCAAGACAGAUGUGAAAUCCCCGGGCUCAACCUGGGAACUGCAUUUGUGACUGCAAGGCUAGAGUACGGCAGAGGGGGAUGGAAUUCCGCGUGUAGCAGUGAAAUGCGUAGAUAUGCGGAGGAACACCAAUGGCGAAGGCAAUCCCCUGGGCCUGUACUGACGCUCAUGCACGAAAGCGUGGGGAGCAAACAGG